GGAGGGAUGGCAGAGCGGUUGAUUGCACCGGUCUUGAAAACCGGAGUCGGGCUUGUCCCGAUCGUGGGUUCGAAUCCCACUCCCUCCG
rnacentral:tRNA from 1 species